rnacentral:rRNA from 1 species
GAUCAUGGCUCAGAUUGAACGCUGGCGGAAUGCUUUACACAUGCAAGUCGAACGGUAGAGGGGGCAACCCCUUGAGAGUGGCGAACGGGUGAGUAAUAUAUCGGAACGUGCCCAGUCGUGGGGGAUAACGUAGCGAAAGUUACGCUAAUACCGCAUACGAUCUAAGGAUGAAAGCAGGGGAUCGCAAGACCUUGCGUUAUACGAGCGGCCGAUGUCAGAUUAGCUAGUUGGUGAGGUAAAGGCUCACCAAGGCGACGAUCUGUAGCGGGUCUGAGAGGAUGAUCCGCCACACUGGGACUGAGACACGGCCCAGACUCCUACGGGAGGCAGCAGUGGGGAAUUUUGGACAAUGGGGGCAACCCUGAUCCAGCCAUGCCGCGUGAGUGAAGAAGGCCUUCGGGUUGUAAAGCUCUUUCGGCCGGGAAGAAAUCGCACAGGCUAAUACUCUGUGUGGAUGACGGUACCGGCAUAAGAAGCACCGGCUAACUACGUG